CCGCACCACGGCUCCAAGCUGUGCAUUAGCGGUCUGGAGUGGCCCAUGGACCCUGAUCACAGAAGGCCAUUUUUCGGAAUGUUGCCCCCAUCAGUGGGCUCCCUGCGUGCAAGCACUUUGCAGUGUGACUUUGCACCCCCUCCCCAUCGGCAGGUGGGAGUCUGUGAAUCUGGGCUGGUCUUGAGACUUGCUCUGAUCAAUACCAAGUGGUGAAAGAUAGGGCUGCGUGCCACGUUUGAGCCCAAGCCUCGGGGGGCUUGCACACUUCCGUUGUCCCUCUCAGAUCCCUGUCUUCAACGACGAGGGCCAGCCCGGACUAGCCGCCGGAGCAUGCGAGGCAAGCAGCCCAGGCACCCCAUCACCCCACCUGACAGCCAGCCGACCCUGAGCAGCACGGCCACCCAGCCGAUCUGCGGAAACACGAGAAUCCGGGGAAAAACCAGGAGAGCCGCCCAGCAGAGCCCAGCCUAAGCCGCUCGCUAACCUGUGGACUUGUGAGUUUAAGGAAGGGCUGUUGACCUUAACAACUGAGUUCGCGGCUGUGUGUUGGGCAGUAGGGACUGGUAUCGCUGUGACUCAGCAGGCAGAUGUGGGGUCCAUCAUCAGUGGUGUUGAUCAUGUCCUGUCUUCCCCUUUGGCCGGGAGACAGGGAACACCACCAGCCUGGCCCCUUGUCGCUUUGUGGGGCUGCACAAACAGUUCUAACCAGUUGCUUCUGAGACAAGGCAGCACACCCUGACAACUGGAGGCAUUGUUAGUCCCAACCUUGUGGCCACUGAGGGCCACCUCAAGAUCAAGACCAAGAUGCUCAGCUCUGGAUGAGCUCGGCCUCGCUCUCUGGCCCACAUGAAGGUUGACUGAAUCCACCUGUGCAGGGGAACACGUGUGGGUCCCUGGGCCGGCGCUGAUGUGCUCUACCCCGAAGCUGGGUUUGGUUUCCAGACGAUGUCUAGAGCGCUCGUCUUGCUCUGGAAGUGGAAUGUGCUGGAUACGAUGCCUGUGCCCUGUCGCACUGGGGGGCCGUACGUGAAGCGCGGUGCCCGCGUCUGCAUUCAAAAGGGUUAGAAGCGGAGGCCGGAUGCCUUCUAAAGGCUUCUACAGGGAAGGGCAGCCGGUGGGGCAGAUUCAGUGGAACCAGCCAGUGGAGGAGCUGGCCUCCUCCCCGCGGGGUCUGACGGCAGUGACUCCAAGAGCAGAUAUCACUGUCACCACGGCUUGAGAGACCCACACUGUGCCCCAACGUGGGACAUGGCACAUCCGGCUGACUUGAAAUGACCCCUGGGAGCACGGGCGUGGGGAGAGGGGUGUGGAGGGCACCCGGCACUGGGUGGUCACACCAUUCCAUCACACUUGCCCCCCUCCGGCCCCUUCCCGACCCCAAAUCUCUCCUGGGCUAGGGUAAAAAUUCCUUAAUGCCCCUCUCAGACAGGGGCUGCUCUCCUGCCUCAUCCCCACACCCCCCUGCUGCCCGCAGUGAACACCUACCCCUUCUCCAUCGGACAAACUUCUCUGUGACCAGGCAGGUGUAGGGCACAUGUGAUAUGUCCUUCCCUGAGAGUCACUACCUCAAUGGCUUUCAAACAACGAUUUUGGAAAUCUGUUUGACUUGACAGACUGACUUGAUAGCUUGGUUUAGAAGAAGGGCAAUAUUCAUUCAUUCAUUCAUUCAUUCGUCGGGUGAAUAGUAAUUGAGCAGCACCUGCUUUGUGGUGGGUGGUGGGUUACGGGCAGGGUGGGGCGGGGGAGCUCUCAAAGAAACAGGUUGUCGACCAUCUCUGAAGUUUGGGGACACCUGGGGACACAGCCCGAUGCAGUGGCAGGGUCUGGGGCUCUCUGUCCCCCGUUUUGGGACAGAGCCAGAUGCCAGGGUGAAGGCAGUGGGCACCCAGCUGCUGUUGGUGCGGCACCCCUCCCGAGCCUUUCCCUGCAUUUGGUGGUGGCUCGGGGCUCAGGGUGCUCCCAGCCCGCUUUGCUCCUCUCCCCUCCUAGUGGCCGCGUGUCACCGCCUGGCAGAGACCCUUCGCGAGGACCCCGGAUGCUGAGCUCCAGAAUCCAUUUGAAUCGCCAUGAUGCGUCACCUCUGGUGGGUCCCACGGAUUGGAUGCCGAUUGGCUAUGCCCGUAGGUGAGCUUGUUGGAGCCUUUCUUCUGCCUCGCAGCUACACCAAAGGCAGACUGGCCUGGAGGGCAGGUGAGGAAGCGGUCUGGAGACCCGCAACAGGACACGGUUCCCCAGGUGGCCCAAGGACCCCCAGCCACCCUCCUGCGUGACGAGCUGCCACUUGGGGUUUGUAGGAUUCUCUUGCACUGGGUCACAGAGCCCUUGAGGGCAGGGGCCUUAGGCCGUUUACCUCAUCACUGUUUGUCAGCACAGGGCACAGAGCACAGCCUGUGCAGAAGUUUGACAAAUGAAGGAGUGAGUGAUUUCUGGAAACACAAAGCUAACCUCUGCAGGGGAGACAUCUGCCAGGUUUCCCAGCUUCCCGUAAAGUGAGCGUGCUGCCAGGGCGUUUCUUGGCCUCUGCUCCCGGGGCCUCACUAAGUGCUCACCACCCUCCCUAGAGCCUCCUGAUAGAAGCUUCCAUCCAAGAGGAGAGCAGGUGCAGUGGCCUGGGGGUCAGAGGCCGGCUGGCCAGUGCUGGCUCUGCUCUCACCAGCCCGUGGGUCGGGCCAUGGGGUCCCUGGAGGCAGAUGAGCGGCUCCCGUUGGUGGCUCAAGGCACCAAAGCCCCUCAGCUGCGACGCCCGGGCUGGACCUCUUCCCCAGAGCUGGGCAACGCCCAGGGGCUCGGCCCACAUUGUGGUCCGCUGGUCUACCUUUCCGGGCGGCACCUGCAGAAGGUCCCCAGCAUUGACUUAUUGCUCUGGGUUCAUCCCUUCCCUUCUCUUCCGUUGUGUGAAGUCCAUUAUCAGAUUCAGGGAAGCCAACCCGCGAGAACUGAGGCUGGUUUCCAGAGCUCAUUCCUUCCUAUGCCAGGCGGCCUGUUCUCACAGAGGAAAGUGAAAGGGGGUGGCCCCCUGGGGUAGUGGGGGCUGCGCAGUGCUUCUAAGCCUGGGAGAACCCCUUUCCCUGGGGACCUCUGGCCUCGUCUGGAGACGUCCUUGGUUGUCACGACUGCUAGGGGGUGGGGAGGGGCGGAGGUACAGGCAUCUGCUGAGCGGGGGCCAGGGAUGCUGCUAAACUUUGUGCGGUGCACAGGAUGGCCCCACUGUGGAGACGAUCCAGCCGAGCAGUAGCACCAAGGCCGAGACCUGCUGUGGCUCGUCUGGCCACGCGGUGUGCUCCGUGGCAGCUGUCAGACCCCGUGAGGGUGCUUUUAUUACUGUCACCUGGAGAGAGCACGUUGGACAGGCAGCGGGCGCCCCCGUCCCGGCCUCCGGUGGCUGUGCAGCGGCGGUGGGACCUUGCAGGCGGGCUGGGAGUUAGAAUGCCAUCGUCCACACUCUGCCAGGAGGUCCAGCUCAGACGCCGGAGGUAAUGGAAAUCUUUGCAAAAGUCCAAAGUGCUUUACAAGCACCAAGUAGGUUUUUUUUUUUUUUUUUCGGGUGGUUUUUAUCAACUCCUGCCCAAGGCCGUGCAAAAGGAUGGCAUCUAAGGGAUCUCCGGCCUGGAACCCAACCCUUCCCCAUCAAAGCAGUUCCCAGCAGAGACAAUGCCAUUUGCGUGAACGCAUUUCUGACAGAGGCCGCACGUGUGGCUUGCAAGCUGUAAGCGUCCGGCCGCGAUUCAUGAGUGGCUUUGAUCACUGGGACCCCGAAGUGCUUCCCGCUUGGCUGCGGCACUGCCCGGCCAUCGUUUCCCCGCGGAAGGUCCACCGUCUGUACGUCAAUCAUGACCCCCCUCUGCUCACUUUGAAAAGUUUCCUUUAUCUCGCUAGAAGCCUCUGGUUUCCUGGGAGCGGUCCACCUCUGAGAUGCUCUGCUGUUUUCGAGAUUGUUUGUUGUGUGUGUGUGUCCCUGGGAAGCUCGGUUCCAGGAGGAGGAGGUCAGAGGAUUGGGGGGGAUUUGACCGCUUUGCGGAUGGCCGUGGGAGCUGUCUGAGGUGCAGCAUCCGGGGGCCUGGGGGCCUGGCACCAGAGCUCAGUGCUCAGUGGCUGGUGCCGGUUUGGGGAGGGCACGCAGGCGGGUGGGAGGAGCCCAGGCUGGCGUUCUGCAGGCAGGAUCUGAUGGGCACACGAGGGAGCUGAGUUUGGCUGGGAAAGAAGUUGAGGGUCCGCUGGACAUAGGCUGGUUGAGCCGGGAACGGAGACAGAGACCGACGGGAGGCAAGGGAGGGAGCGGGUCCAGGAGCCCUACAGGGCUGAGGGGUAGCGGGACCUGGAGAGAAGGGCAGGAGAGGAGGGGAGAGCAGAGGGGAGGUUUGUCACCACCAAGAGGAUCCAGCCCAGCCCAAGUCUGGAUGAGGCCCCUGGACGGGUGACUGGGAGAGGGGGUUACCAGGCUGGGGGUCCUGGGGUUGAGACUGUGAUGUCCCCCUCUCUGCUCCCCAGGAGACCAGGGAUCAAAGGUGGGUCUGGGAGCUUUAAACACCUGAGGGGGGGUCUCGGUUUAGGGGAGCUGACAACUAAGUCCCCGGGGAGAGUGUGAGUAUGCAGCUGAGAGGCGGGGUGCACCCUGGCUGGGGGACAGUCUACUCUUUGCACACAGCCGAGGAUGCCACUGUGGACAGGGCUCGCUGUGGCAAACUGGGGGCAUGGUGCCUGUCACAACAGAGGCUCCAGCCUGAUGCCCAGAGGCGUGACAGGCACCGUGGCGAUAGGUGAGCCAGGUGACCCCAGAGGAAGCUGCCAGCUCAGGCCUGGCCAGAUGCGUGCUGUGACCGCCGUGUGCCCCGCGUGGAAAGGCGGCCAGAGUGAUAGCCUUGCUGCUGACUUACAGGCAAUCUGGCUCAGCCCCCUCUCCCACCUCUGCCCUCCGCCUCCCAGCUCAUCUGGGACCCCCAGCUCAUGCCUUAGGGCGUGAAGGCCACGCUUUGGGCCGUGUGCAGCAGACCGCAUCCAGACGGUGACGGGAAACAGGCUGGCACUGCGCGGACGUCGGCCAGAGGCCACACAAAGGACUGAUUGCAGGCUCAGCCCAAAGGCAGCUGUCCACAAGCCAGGGAGAGAGGCUUACAGUCACCAGCCCCGAUGGCACCUCGGUCCACCUUGCAGGCUCCAGAACUCCGAGAGGGCAAAUGUCUGGGCAUGAGCACCCUGGCCAAUGGCAGUCCCAGCUGAGACUGUGAAAGUCCACCCACAGCUUACAUUGUCCCCUGUCCUGCAGCCAAGGGACCUCGGACUGGUUUUGUUUGUUUGGGGCUUUCUUGGCAGCUUCCAUAGAAGCAAGGUGCUCCUUUCCUGGGAUGCUCCGGCUUGACAGCUGUCCGAGGCGGCCCCCAGGGUGGGGACGAGCCAGGCAAGGUAGCUGUGAGCCCAGACGCCCUGCAUACGCCCUGCUGAGCAGUUCAGUUCCUCCGGUGUCCGCCUGCGGGAAGAUGUUGGUUUUCGCUGCACCUGCCAUCUGGACUCUUUGCCGUCCAGAAAACCGUGUGUUGGCAACGGAAAGCGUGAGGACGCACGGUCCCUCGGAGUCCGCGGUGUGCUCCGGGGGAGGGGGGCCUUGUUCUCUCCAUGCAGUUCCACUUAACAAAUACUUAUGGGUGCCUGUCAGGUGCCCAGGUCUUACUCCAGAUGCUGGAGAGAAGCAGGUAAACCAGUCAGAGAACAUCUGUGCCCACGUAGCUUCUGUUUCAGUCGGGAGAGGGUGCAGAAAAUGAACACCUACAAAAAUACCUAGCGGUGAUACAUAUUCCGAAGAAGACAAAAUGGGGUGUUGUGAUGGUAGGGGUGGAAGAGGUCAGGGAGGCCUCUCAGAAGAGGGAGGCAGGAGCUGAGAUCAGAACGUCAAGAUUGAAGCAGCCAGGUGAGGAUCCGGAGAGGGCACGGCAGGCAGAGGGAGAGCAGUGCCAAGGUCCUGGGGUAGGAAUGAGCUUGGUGUGUCGGAGGAACCUGGGGGGGGGAGUGAGGGAAGGGGGGGAACAUUAGGUCAAGUGGGAGCCAGGGGCCCCCGUGGGUUGGCUGAGGAGUUUGGAGGCUCAGGACAGCAGGAAGCCUCAGGCUCAGGCAGGACGGGCUGAUGACAUUUUCAGAGGCUCCCUGGGGCUGCUAUGAGGGGUGAGCUCAGAGGGCAAAAACGGAAGUCCCAAGCCCGUCCUUCUCCUCAGCCUCUGCUCCCUGUCUGCUCCAGGCUGCAGCAUCUCACUGGGCUUCUCUCCCUCACCCUUUCUGCAGCCUCCUACCUGGUCUCCCUGCUUCCACUCUUGCCUCUCUAGGGACUGGCUCUAACGGGGCAGCCAGGUGCCCCCAUUCACUCCUCAGCUCGAACCCCCCGGAGGCUUCCGCCUCACCUGCAGAAAAGCCAGAGUCCCCACGGGGGCCUGCGGGACCACAUGAUCUCUUCUCCCCACUCCCUGCCCCCUCCCCUCCCCAACCAUCUCCCGAGGUCACCACCCAGACGUCCUUCAGGCCUCUUCCCCGCACCCAGCUCUUUCCACCCUCCCUUUCCUCCUGGCCCUUGUAGCCAUAGCUCCCGUGGCUGGUGUCUCUACUCCCGGGUUAGGGCACAGGUCAGGGGCUUCUGUUUGGUGCCCUGCCACCUCCCAGUAUGUAGACCAGCCCUCAGCCCCCAGUGAGGGCUCAGUCAGUACCUGUGUGCUGUUGUCAAAGUCCUGACUUGGAAGGCAAAGGGGGGCUAGUUCCAAGGAGGUCCUUGUGCACGGGGAAGGAUCCGGAUGGACUUGAAGACAGCCCACAGGGCUUGCUGUGCUCUCGGGGGUGAGUGUCGCCAAGGGGCCAACAUUCUUGCAGGGCUUUGCUUGAGCCGCUGAGGCCAUGGUGCAUGGAGGCACGGUGUGCACGUAAGGGAGAUGGGGAGGGAGCCCAUGGGGCAGGCAGGGGUCCAGGGUUCUGCCCGGCCCGGAGAGGUUUGAAACCUCACUAUCCGCACCAAGUUGCUGUGGAAGGAGGAAGCUGGUUGAAACUCUGAAGCUCAGGAGGGCCAUUAAGGCCAGAGGUAACAGCUGCAGGUCAGUGGCCCAGAUGUGUUAUUUGGUUAAGGCCCAGUGAGAUCCCAAGGCAAGAUCAGGGAUGCCAAGGUCAAGCCAGGGAGGGCAGGUCCACACAUGUGCCUGGGGCACGUCAGCAUUUCAGGCAAACGAAAAGGUCCUCACCGGUUACGCCCGUCUUUGUCCUCUGCUCUGGGGCCUGCCUUUUCAGGAAAGCUACCCGGGUCCACUCCGCAGCAUGUGUCCUGGGAAUGACUGUGAGAUAAAGUGGGGAACAGUGUGUGAGGUGGGGGGGGGGCUCCAGCCCCCUGGGGACAGGAUGAGUGAAUGUCAUUGCCCACACUGCACUGGGUCAAGGACCCCAGCGACACAUGCCCUGGUCAUACUGUCCUCUCUCACACCCGGCCAGGGGUGGCUGGACUUCAAAGUCACCUUCCGACGACUGCAUUAACAAACUGGGAUGUGUGUCCUGGGGCUUCGAGGCCGUUCGUCGCUCCUGGGUCUCUUCAGUGAGAUCUCCCUGUUCUGAAACACGCCAAAGACUUCCUCUGUCCCACAAGUCCUGCACAGUGCCAGCCGUGGACUCCCCAAAGGUGAGGCCAGGAGGGCUGCCAGCCGGUUUCCUAGAAAACGUUAAAUCAGCCCCCUCCUCCCUCCAAAUCCCACUCGUUCACUUUUCUUCUGGUGGACUGGUAUUUUCGCCGUGAUUCCGUCCCAGGCCUUCUGACCUAAUUCCAAUUUACUUGUUGGAGUUUCUUAUUUCCUCUCGACACUGACUCUGACACGCAAGGCUGUUUUAUCACUGGGUGGUUUUAAUUUUCAUACAGAGACUUGUGGUUUCCCAUUUUCUGUGUUUCCUUUGAGUUUCAGCCAACAGGAGCAUAACGCCUAUGAAAGGCACACGGAUUCCAUGGGCUGUUUGUUGAAUUAUUCAAAGUGCUCCUUUAUUAUUCCCUUUGUGUCAGUCUAUGUGGCUUCUUACCAGAGGCGUGACUUACAUGGUAGGCUACUGUGUGUCCAGUAUGGAUGAUCUUGAGGGGACAAGCAAGGGAAUGCAGCUUUGCCCCAGGAGAAGGUUACUAUCAGCACAGCCAGAGAACAUUCACAGGAUCCAAGAUGGCAGAUGCAAACCCCCUGGCCCAGUAGGUCAGUGGGAUGCUGUGAAGGACGACUCUUAGCCAGAGCAGAAGUAGAAGCAAGCUCAUGGGAUGGGAAAUUCUUGGUAUUGUUGGAUUUUGGAUUGGUUCAUUCAUAUAGACAAUAAAUAUGUGCUAGACACGUA